UUUAUUUUGUGACAGGGGAGACGGAGCGAGCGAUGGUUUCUUCUUCCUCUCUAACCCUAAGAACGGAAAUUAUUACUUGCUUCGGAAGAAAAACAAAUCAUAUCUUCUCCGUGAAGAUUAGAGAUUCGAAGAACAAGGAUAUGAAGAGAGAUGAAAUCGUGGGUUUUAAAGUAAUGGAUGUAGCAGCACCAUGUCAGCUUGGGUUUUGCUCGGUCUCCUUCUCCGGGUUCCUGAAGCUUGGAUUGUUUCGAAAAAUUGGAGCAGAUUGUGAAGGCAAAAAUGAGGGGUGUUCGGCAAAGGAAUGCGUGAAGGGAACAAAGGAAUGAAGUUGGUUGGAAAAAGGAGCGAAUCUCGCUGAAAUGGCGGCAAUCAGUCUAUCGGUAUCACCAGGCUUAACCAUCUCAACAGAGGCAUGCAAAGAUUACCAUUCAUGGUCAGUGACUACUGAAAAGAAUAAACUAACAGAAGCUGGCGAAACUUGCAAAAGGUGAAAGAGGAGAUGGGAGAACUAUUUAAAGAGAGAAGCUCUCAUGCAUAUGGUUUUUUACUAACAAAGUUCCAUGUAGGCCAGACAAACAUUUCUGCCACUAAAUAUUUCUCAGAAGACUGUCCAUAUUUCUACUUCAGGAAAAACAUUGGCAAAGAUGGACUAAAGGCUCGAAAGGCUCGACAAAAGGUGAUCAAGGCAAGGAUUCUAAAGACCUGGAGUCUGGCAACCGUAUACCAAUGAAGUAUAUGGCAUGGAAUGCACUUGAUGGAUGAAAAGGUUGUUAAAUGGUUUCGCGUAACCCAUUAGCUUAAUUUGUGGGUUUGCCUGAAUAAUCUCAUAGCUCAAACAUGUGACGUGUUACCAAGUAUGAUAUUGUUGAAGUCAUCAGAGUCCAAUGUUUCAAUAACAGUCUAAGGAGUUCCUCGCAAACUCUAAAAGUUGUAUACAAAAGCAGAUGCUGCUCCUCAGCUUAGCUUGAUAUGACUAUAACAGCGCAUCUCCCUUUUGACUUAAUAAAUCAUUCGAAGAACCCAAUGGGAGUACUUUGAGAGGCUGACAUUGCAGCUAAGAAAUGCAUCUGGAGUUUAUGGAGAAUCUCGUCACAAAUAUAAACAGAACUACAAGCCAGGUAAAUACCAUUGAAGAAGCUUCAAGUUAAGAAGAGGAUGGCAUCAGAUUUGGGGCUUAGCAGAAUAUAUGAGUCAGGCAAGAAGAUGUAGGCACGUUAACAAACAUGGUUAAAAGGUUUUCAAGCUCAUGAUGGAAUGGCCUCUGAUAGUCGUCAACAAAACCUUUUACUCUUUGGAAGAACCAAAUCAAGAUUCCCAGACUCCGACAAGGACUAUCAGACGGAUCAAGACAUUGACGCUAGCAAUAGACCAAGCGUCCAUGAAACUACACGUACAUGGGCCUAUUCUAGAUUUGGUCACUAGACAAAUAAUACAGUAUCAGGCGGCUCAAACGCCACCUUUCAGAUUUCCUUUUUCAUAUGAUAUAUAUUUCCAGAAAAAUCAUACUAAUAAAUAGUAUUCUUAAAUAUCUAAAGAUUAAGAAAUGUAUAGUUAUGUUUUACU